rnacentral:lncRNA from 1 species
UUUUUUUUUUUCUUUUUAGGGCCACACCUGUGACAUAUGGAAGUUCCCAGGUUAGAGGUCGAACGGGAGCUUUAGCUGCAGGCUUACAGCACAGCCAUGGCCACACCAGAUAUGAGCUGCAUCUGUGACCUAUACCACAGCUUGUGGAAAAACCACAUCCUUAACCCACUGAGUGAGGCCAGGGAUCAAACUCACAUCCUCAGAGAGACAACAUUGGGUCUUUAAUCUGCUGAGCCACACCAGGAACUCCAGCUUUAUCAUAUUUCAACAUUGCAUAAAAGAAUGUGAAGAAAAUAUUCAAUAUGGUCUAAGCAGUUAGAUCCGGUAAAAUCAUCUUUCCCACUUCUUUCUCAAAGGGGAAGUUACUUCCGGAAAAUUGCUUUUACAAAGUAAACUCUCCCAUGUACAACUGCAUGGGUAUGAAUGGUCGACAUUUAAGGAAAUCCUCUUUGGGAUGGAACUGCUAUAAAACUGGGUUGUGGUGAUCGCUGUACAACUAUAAAUGUAACAAAAUUCACUGAGUAAUUUAAAAUAAAAAGAAGUCCCCUGAAUUAACUGAUGAUCCACGGAUAGCUGUUCACCUUGACCCAGCAGAUGAAAUGCAGAGGGACCAGUAGUAAUCCUACGAUAAAGCUCAAAGAUUUCCUCCAAGAACUGCUUCAAAUAAGCACAAAAGUUAAGUAAGGUGAAGUGACCAUUUAUGUCACUGCCUUUGCAACUUGCCUUUUGCUCUUUUCUAACUCCUUGAAGUGAUAUCAACUAAGGACAAUAAAACUUUUGGGAAGAAAAACACAAUCUACAUCAUUAGCAUAGAAGCAGAUUUGUGUCAAAAUAGGUUAUUGCCAGAGAUUCUUAGAAGUUUGUACUUUCUAACAUAGGCUAUAGCCUACAUUCUCAUUUUAGUGGACGAUAUGUGUCAGCGGCCACAGUCACUCUGGCUCCUGGACACUUUAAACGUGGCCAGUCGGAUGUGAGGUGCACUGUAAGUAUAAAAUAUAUACCAGAUUCUGAAGUUCUACUAUAAAAAUGUGAAACACUUCACUCAUGAAUUUUAUAUUUUUCAACAUUUAUAUAUCAAAAUGAGUAGUUGAAUAUAUUAGGUUACUUUUUUAAGAUUUUUAUUUUUUCCAUUAUAGUUGAUUAAUAUUAGGUUAAAUAAAAUGUAUUAUUAAAAUUACUUUCAUCUGUUUUUACUUUUUUAAUGAGAGUGAUGUAUAUGGCUUGCAUUUGCAUUUUGUAUUCUAUAUUUUUUUAACAAUGAUUUUUAUUUUUUUCAUUAUGUCUGGUUUACAGUGUUCUGUCAACUUUCUACUGUACAGCAAGGUGACCCAGUCACACAUACAUGUAUACAUUCCUUUUUCUCACAUUAUCAUGAUCCAUCUUAAGUGACUAGAUAUAGUUCCCAGUGCCAUACCAACUGGACAGCACUGCUCCAUAAAAUGCCAUUCCAUCACCGUCUUUAAACUGGAUCACAAAGAAUCAUGCUUUUAUUCACUUAGGAAUGCAUUUAAAAAACCUUCAGAAAAAAGUAAAAAUGGUCAUGUAGUUUUGGAAAAGAAUGCCAAACCAGAACACUUUCCCUACUUCGUUUCAACAAGAAAAAGUAGCAGAGAAGGUCUAAAAAUGCAGUGCUGAACAUGAACCCAGUGCCGACAGCUGCUUUAACCAAACCCACUACAGCACCGUCAAGACAGCCCGACAGAAAGGCUGAUCAUGGUGUGGGAACAGCCCCCGUCUUAUAAGCACGUCACUAUAUUUCUAUUGACCUGGCCAGACAGUGCUGAGGCUGCCUAAGAAAUGGAAAGGAAAGACAGAAAAUUAAAGAAGGGGCAAAGGAAGCAUUGAGGAUGUGACAGCAAGACACAGUGAAUCUCCUGCCCCAGAAGCAUGCGGGGACUCUCCCUGGGUGAUGUACAUACAGAAAUGCCAUGAGGCCUUUCCCCAGCUGUGCCCCCUGAUGGCUUAUGCAUUUAGAAUUUAGGGAAAAACAUCACCACAGAAGGUAAGGAUAAAACAUAGGAUGCAUCCAUUGUGGAGGGGAGGAAAAAAAAACAAAAAAACAAAGAGCUAUUCAUCCAUCUUAAACAAAUGCUUCUAAGUAUAUCUGGAAAGGCAGCACAAUGGACGCACACCCCCCCUUGCCUGUGGCAGUCGGCGCUGUCCAAAGCAUCUACUCAUACCAUAUAGAUGGUAAAGAACUCCAGCAAAGGAGAGAAUGAAACGGAACCUCUUCGCCUCCACUGCUGAUUUCCUCUGGCAGGCUGGCUUUCCUGUACAGCACUUACGACAUCACUUCAUGCUUUGGAGAACACAACUUGACCUAUUUUUGCUUGACUCUAUUUGACAGAGGGCUGUGUUAUAGUGGGUUUCGAUUAUACGCUGGUCUGGUUAUUUUAUGAAGCCUGUAUUACAGCAAAUCCUAAAGGGGCAAGGAAUGAAUACUCAGGAACGUGAGAAAAGGCAGGGAGAAGCAAGGGCAAAUCCAAGUGCCUCUCCAGGUACGGUGCCAGAGUUACCUGUUGUGCUUGAUUUGAUACUAAAUAAGCCCCGAUUCAUUAUCUUUCACAUGAAACCAAUAGAGAAGGUGGAGUGAGAUCUAAUUUUAACAUCUUUAGGGCUCAUAAACAAAGCUCUCAAAGGCUUCAACUUUUCCCAAUUUCCCCUCUUGCUAGCCUUUCUGCUUUUCCAGCAGAUAUAAAAGUUGGUUGUUUGUGUGUUUUGAAUAAUCCAAGGUAGAAACUUCCAGGGAAAGGGAAAAGAAGAGAAAGUUAACCAAUUCCUUUUUCCCCUAGUCAAAAAACAAACAAACAAACAAACAAAAAACUAUUUAAGUUGCCAGACUGUCCAACAGGGGAUAAGUCAUACAUCUGAUUUCUUUGUGAGAGAAAACACCCAGCUAUCUGAGAGCUUUUAAGUACAAAAAUAUCAUGCUAUUCAUGGAUGCCAAAUGUGGACAAAUAUAAGACAUCUGUAAUAGUAAACGAGUUCAAAGAGGUGAUGGUACAUAUAAAUUUAUAGUUGCUUCUGGCUCAGUGGGAAGUGUCAAAUUAAAGAUGGAUGCAAAGACUCAAAUAGGCAAUAGGAGAAAUGGGUUGAACAUAGACUAUUUAUCAAGUAUUAAAUUCUAGAAUAUUGAUACUUUCCAAGAAUAGUGCAAUAACAUUUUUUGAGUUACAUGCUUUUAAGUUAUAGAAAAUACACUUUUAUUAGAACUUAAGGUUUAUUUGGCAAGAUAGGGACUCUAGAGGCAACUUCAAAUUUUAUUUCUAACGCUUCCUCUGUUUAUUUUAAAGAAGUACUUUUUAAUGAGAUUCCGCUUCAGGGCAUUACUAUUUAACAAUUCCAUAGCUUACGAUGCUUGCAGAAUUGAGGGGGACUUCUUUGUAAUGUUCAAUCUCCUCAGCUAAAAUAAGAAAACUGCUCUAACCGGGUCCUGUUUCAUUAGGCCUCCUUCAAUGAACAGUAAUGACAGCAUCACCAUCCACUGCACGGAAAGAACUCCAUGAAGCUUGUGAGCUUUCCCACUGGUCAAAUGUCGGAAAACAAACCCUCUGUCUAUUUUGGGUAUAAGACUAUAAAAAGCAUUGUCAUUUUUGAUAUGCUUUAAAAUGCAUGACAUUAAAAGGAACACAUUUCUUCCAGCCAAACGCUUCCCUCUCAAAUUAUGAAACCGGAGAGACUUUACUGUACAUAUACUCACUCACGCAGCACAAACACAGAAUAUUCAAUUCAGCAUUUAACUGCCAGAGAUGGUACUGGUGUUCUGAGUAUCUUCAGUGUGUAAACUGGUUGCAGGGAGGAGAAGCAACACUACUUCUUUCCUGAACGAUCCAUUCAGAAUUCCCAAGUCGAUGCAACUGCAUCUCAGACACACCAUUUCCAGUAAGAAACACUCCUGCUAAGUUCCAGAGGGAGAGGAAAACCUGUGCUCUCUGAAAUUUACAACUACUUUGAAACCAGCAUUUCUGGGCAAGAGAUUGCUAUUUUUUUUUAAAGCAGAUUAUUCAGCAUUACACGUGAGAGGUAACUAUAUUUUCUAAUUGGAAAUCUUAGAACAUACAGACUCAUUUAGAAUUCCAUAUUGAUUUAAUUUCAGAAAACAAUUUCUCCAACCCCCCCUUCUUACUCAAUAUUAUUAUAUUAUUGCAUAUUGUUCUUUAGAGACAGGUCAGUUAUAGACAAGUCUUCCUGCCUGCCUGCAUUUUUCUUUUCUCAUGUAUACAUUUUGCGUUUCAGAUCAAAUCAAUUGCCCUUCAAAUCAGAAAAGGUGCCAUUUUACAGAUCCUAUAAAGUUGAACAGCAUUAAAACUUUCUGGAAAAUGUUCUUAAUGCUUAAAAUAGAAUCUUCUAAGUGGUAUUUCACAUGGGGUGUAGGAGAUACUCUUUAACACAGCAGCAGGAAUAAUACGAACCAGUUAUUUUAAAAUAAAACAACAAAAACAUUAAGACUGCCAAAGAAUCAUCAUAGCAGACACAAAAAUGAAAACUUCCCGACAUUUUUGCUAUAGCAAGAGCUUCUAGCUUGAUAGUAUCAAACUCUGUACUACCACUUAGAGUAAUGACUCAAGGUUAUUUUUAUUAUUGAAACAUGAAUUGUUUUAACCUAAGGUAAAUUCUAGCCAACUUAUAUGUCAAGCUAGUUAAUAAUGAAAUUGUCUCUCAGAUAUUAACUGUAAUUUAUUUUGUUUCUAUAAGCAAUAAUAGAAUGAAUAAAACCCACCAAAGUAAGUAUACUUGGGUUCAAUUAAAAAACUUUAAAAAAUGAACAAAAUUAACAUCAUCUCUCUGGGAGUUCCUGUUGUGGUUCAGCAGGUUAAGAACCUGACGUAGUCUCCUGAGGAUGCAGGUUAGAUCCCUGGCCUCACUCACUGGGUUAAGGAUCCGGAGAUCUGUCAAUCUGCAGCAUGGGUUACAGAUGCAGCUCAGAUCUGUUGUUGCCCUGGCUGUGGUGUAGGCCUGCAGCUGCAGCUCCAACUUGACCCCUAGUUCAGGAACAUCCAUAUGUUGCAGGUGUGGCUAUUAAAAAAGGAAAAAAAAAAGGAAAAAAAUAAUCUCUCUGACUUGACGCCUUUUUAGACCAACCCCUUCCUCUUUUAUCACUGAAGAAGUACACGACAUAUUAAUACCGAAAAUAAGCACAAUAAAGAAACCCCCAAACCCCCUAUGUUAUUUUAGACCUAUCUAAAUUUUUUGGAAUUCUGAGUUCUACCCCUUUCUCUGAAUUCUGCAUCAUUUCAUCUCUACACUUUUCCAUUAGUUCAACUCACCGAGCAUUUACUGAGUGUCUGUUGCCCAUCAAGCACUAUUUUACCCGAUUUUCAUGAAGAUGGCAAAACCUCAUUCCCUUAUGGGCAAUACCUUCUGAAAACAGAAAUAGGCAAUAAGCGAUGAUGUAAAAUCAAGGAAUAAAUCACACAGAAUGUUAAAGUUGGUACCUAUGAUGAAAAACUAGAACAGAGCAAGGCGAAUCAAGAGAGGUGGCGAGAGAGGAGCCUCCCCUUCAAAUAGGAUGGUCAAAGGUGGCCCCUCUGACAACACGGCAGGUGAUAAAGACGUCCCCUUCCACGCCGGUCACCAUGCCAGCACUUUUAGUGGGUAAAAGGAGAAAAGCCACUGAGGCCAAAGAGCUUUUAAAAAAUCAUUGUGCAAAUUCUUAUGCUAAACUAUCAAGCGCUGCUGUAUUACUCCUUGUCUUCAAAUACAAUGGGAGAGAAAAGAUAUUGAAUGGAAAAGUAGUACUGCAUUUUUUUUUUUUCUUUUUAGGGCCAUACCUGUGGCAUAUGGAAGUUCCCAGGCAGGGCUUGAAUUGAAGCUGCAGCUACUGGCC